rnacentral:tRNA from 1 species
GAAAAAUUAGUUAAAAUAUAACCUGAGAAUGUCAAACUUAAAUAACUUACUUAUAAAGUAUUUUUCA